AGGGCAAAUAGGUUGCAAAAAAUUUGCUAAAUUUUUGGUUCAAGUUUCGAUACUUGAUUGCUUUA
rnacentral:tRNA from 1 species